AUGGCAUCAUCUUCAUCAUCUAUCACAUUGAAACUCUUUUUCGUCUUAGCCGCCUUAGCCGCCGUAACCUCGGCCCAAGACCUUGGCCUCUCCCCGGUUACGGCGCCAGGUCCCGAUGCCGGAGCGGCCGGAUAUGCUAUAAAUUCUAUUGCUAUGAUCGGAGUGUCAAUUGUGUUGUCAAUGAUUGCUAUAUUGAAGCAUUAG